rnacentral:rRNA from 1 species
UUUUGGCGGAACUGGUGCGCUUAUUACGUGCUGAUAACGACCAGGCUUGCCGUAAGGAGUCUAACCUGUUAUUUUUUAAGGAGAAGCUGCCACCUCCAGGGAAAUUGGCUGGGGCAACGGCCGCUAAUACCCCAUAUGCCGAGAGGUGAAAUGAAUUUCGCCUGAGGAUGAGCUCGCGUCUGAUUAGCUAGUUGGUGUGGUAAAGGCUCACCAAGGCAUCGAUCAGUAGCUGGUCUGAGAGGAUGAUCAGCCACACUGGGACUGAGACACGGCCCAGACUCCUAGCGGGAGGCAGCAGUGGGGAAUUUUCCGCAAUGGGCGCAAGCCUGACGGAGCAACGCCGCGUGAGGGAUGAAGGCCUCUGGGCUGUAAACCUCUUUUAUCAAGGAAGAAGAUCUGACGGUACUUGAUGAAUAAGCCACGGCUAAUUCCGUGCCAGCAGCCGCGGUAAUACGGGAGUGGCAAGCGUUAUCCGGAAUUAUUGGGCGUAAAGCGUCCAGGAGGCGGUCUUGAAAGUCUGUUGUUAAAGCGUGGAGCUCAACUCCAUUUCAGCAAUGGAAACUAGAAGACUAGAGUGUGGUAGGGGCAGAGGGAAUUCCCCGUGUAGCGGUGAAAUGCGUAGAUAUCGGGAAAGACACCAGUGGCGAAGGCGCUCUGCUGGGCCAUAACUGACGCUCAUGGACGAAAGCCAGGGAGCGAAAGGGAUUAGAUACCCCUGUAGUCCUGGCCGUAACGAUG